CACCUGGUACAAGGAGGAUGAAGACUCACCAACAGCUUCAGGACAGAUUUUUAACAUAAACAACACAAGUCCUGAACACAGUGGGCAUUAUAUUUGUAUCGCCCAAAAUACCAGAGGACGUCAUAACUCCACUGUACAUCUGAUUGUUUUGGAAGCAGGAGGAUGGAAACUGACGACUGCUGUGACAGUUCCUGCUAUUUUCCUCAUUAUCAUACUCAUCUUUGUCGUCAUAUGGAUCAUAAAGAAGAGGGCCUGCAAGCAACCGUCUGAGCCCGGAGACAGACCAGAGAACAGUGAACAGGUGAGGAAGUCUCUGAAUUUAUGAAUCAGGGACGGUUGAACUCUUGACAUAGUGUUUGAUUUGUUUGCCUUCAGCAAUGUUUGUCCUAUUUGUUUGCUGUAAGUGCUUAAGCUUUUGCUC